UCGAACAGUCAAUCUAUUAGCAACUGGAAGACUUCAUUUAGAAAGUUUAAAAAAAAAUGUUCAUGCAGAAUUUAGUUGUUAAAUGUAGCUAGCCUAUUGUUGUAUUCCAUGUUGUCAGUUUAAUUAUUUGUGAAGGAGGACUUGCCUCGACUAAAUUUGUGGCAGCAAGGUGAUAUCGAUAGUGCAAGCUUUCUCUAUCUAACGGCACGGAUUUUGUAGAAUGAUGCUGUGAAGAAACAUUUAUUUUGCAAAAGUGUCAGACGUUAUUAGCCGCGCUUGACUUGGACCCGAAAUAGGUGCCGGACUACAGUAAAGUCUUGAGGGAGACCUGUAACAGUGGACCAUGCUCCAGACAGUGAGUAACCCCCCGGGCUUGUGCAUCAGUGCCAAAACCAUUCCAGAGAGAAAGCUGAUAUAUUCCUGCCCUGGCGCCACAGACCCUGUUACAGAGAGGAAGCUGAUGUAUUCAGGCAAUGGUAUACUGGACCCUGCUCCAGAGCGUAGGUACAGGCAGGCCUAUUUUUCCAGGUAUAGGUGGAAAUGGAGGAAGAAGUCCAAAAAAAACCCACAGCCGUUGCCGCCAGCCUCACCUCUGCCACCAUAUGAGGAAGAAAACUGGGAGGAGGAGAUGGGAAUCGUAGAGACAUAUGGAUUUGCUCCAUAUGGCCCAGAGGAUGUGGAUAGAGUGGCCCUACAGGGGUUGACCCUGAACCAUGCCCCCUGCCCUCCCCACCCCCAGACAGCAACCGACUACAGCCCUGCCACCCACCACCAAGCCCCCAUCAAAUGGGUCCGCCACAUCAUCCGCAGCGUGGAGGAGCAGUUUGUUGACGCAGAGGUUUGAGGAUUAUUUUCCUGCUGUAGCAAACUGCCGACCCCUCCCUCCCUCUACACCCUCAGUUUGAGAGACUUCCCUCUGGCUGGCGCUUCAGAAUGCCCAUAGCCAGGAAGAACGUGUUCCAACAUUCCUGUGUUCCUUGUGCCUAUGGACUACUAAAUGCAAAGUCAAUUGUAUCUGUAUAUGCACUUCUCUAUCCAGUGAGUGAGUCAACAUAUCAAUGUCCACUAUGUUUUUAGUGUAUGAAAUGUGAUGGACUGACUGGUUUAAAUGUGUAUGAUGUGCAAAUGUAUGCGAUCCUUUUAAUGGAAGGUGAUGCCAAAGAACAACAACAUCCAUCCUGGACGAACAAAGUGUUAUUCUAAAUGUAAGAUCCUACAUCUGUAGGCCAAUCUACAUUCUACAGUACGUAUCUAACCAAAACAUCUGUAGGCCAAUCUACAUUCUACAGUACGUAUCUAACCAAAACAUCUGUAGGCCAAUCUACAUUCUACAGUACGUAUCUAACCAAAACAUCUGUAGGCCAAUCUACAUUCUACAGUACGUAUCUAACCAAAACAUCUGUAGGCCAAUUUACAUUCUACAGUGCGUAUCUAGACAAAACAUCUGUAGGCCAAUCUACAUUCUACAGUGCGUAUCUAACCAAAACAUCUGUAGGCCAAUCUACAUUCUACAGUGCGUAUCUAACCAAAACAUCUGUAGGCCAAUCUACAUUCUACAGUGCGUAUCUAACCAAAACAUCUGUAGGCCAAUCUACAUUCUACAGUGCGUAUCUAGACAAAACAUCUGUAGGCCAAUCUACAUUCUACAGUGCGUAUCUAGACAAAACGUAGCAUUGAGUUGAGCUGGAUACACAUCAUAUGACCAUUGAAUGAUUGCUGUGAAUCACUUCAACCCUCCGAACAUACACACACAAGCUAAUGUGUCUGGGUUGUCACACACUGGUCUGAACAUGCAGUAGAAUAGAUAGCUAGUGUAGUACCUCUGAGAAUAGGAUCUGUAAUGUGUCCCCUGUCAGUUGCGCAUGUGGAGCUGCCAGCAUUGUUCGCUGGACGCUGACAGCUGUGUGUACUUAUUGAGAAUAAACACAGCUCACAGAUCUUGGACACAUUCGCAUGGGAAGAAGAGGAGAGGGGAAGGCAGACGGGAGUGACUCAAGCCUGUUGUCCACCUACAACACUCUGCUCCAUUGACAUUAACAUGUAUCUCAAGGGGGGGGGGUUUAGAAUACAUGUUGGUUUUAGCCUCCCGAUUAUCUGCUUUAUCUUUCAGCUCUCUGGGGGCUGGCUUGUUCUGUGUCUGGCAGUAGUGCUUGGGGAAGUACAGAUGAGGAGUGUCUGCAUAGUUGACAAUCCUGGGCUGGUCCCACUGGCCUGUAUGAGUGAGUGGGCCUUCUGAUGCAGCUCCAGGGUGGGGCUCGUGGACUGUCUGAAUGGUCCUCCAGGGUGGGGCUCGAGGUCUGUCUGAAUGGUCCUCCAGGAUGGGGCUCGAGGACUGUCUGAAUGGUCCUCCAGGGUGGGCUCGUGGA